rnacentral:rRNA from 1 species
UAUGUGAUCGUCUCUCGCAUAUCAAUAAGCGGAGGAAAAGAAACUAACAAGGAUUCCCCUAGUAACGGCGAGUGAAGCGGGAAGAGCUCAAAUUUGAAAUCUUAAAGGGUUUCCCUUUACGAAUUGUAGUUUAAAGAAGUGUUUUCUGUUGAGGUUUUGGUAAAAGUUCUUUGGAAUAGGACAUCAUAGAGGGUGAGAAUCCCGUAUUUGACCUUUACUUUCAACUUUGUGAUACACUUUCAAAGAGUCGGAUUGUUUGGGAAUGCAGUCCAAAAUGGGUGGUAAAUUUCAUCUAAAGCUAAAUAUUGGCGAGAGACCGAUAGCGAACAAGUACCGUGAGGGAAAGAUGAAAAGAACUUUGAAAAGAGAGUUAAACAGUACGUGAAAUUGUCAAAAGGGAAGCGUUCGACACCAGUGUUGUUUUUCUGAAAAUCAAUUAAAGAACUGUUUAUGCUAAGUUGUUUAGACUUUAUCAGCUAUCUGUUUAGUUUUGAGCUUUUCUUUAAUGCACUUUUCAGUUAACAAGUCAACAUCAAUUUCUUUUGCUGUAAAAAAGCUUGAGGAAGGUGGCUUGAGAUUCGUCUUAAGUGUUUAUAGCCUCUUGCCUAUGCAGUCGGAGAGAUUGAGGUCUGCAGCGUAGAUCCUUCGGGGCUAAAUGCAUUUGUGCUAAGUUAUAGCAUUUUAUAGACAACUUGUUGACUAUGAUUUGUCUUGUAGCUUACUCGCUUAUGUUAUUUUACCUACGCUUAGGAUGUUGAGUAGCGACAUACGCAC